rnacentral:rRNA from 2 species
UUGACCUCGAAUCAGGUAGGAAUACCCGCUGAACUUAAGCAUAUCAAUAAGCGGAGGAAAAGAAACCAACCGGGAUUACCUCAGUAACGGCGAGUGAAGCGGUAACAGCUCAAAUUUGAAAUCUGGCUCUUCCGGAGUCCGAGUUGUAAUUUGUAGAAGAUGCUUUGGGUUGUGGGUUCGGCCUAAGUUCCUUGGAACAGGACGUCAUAGAGGGUGAGAAUCCCGUAUGUGGCCGAGGCCCGCGCCUAUGUAAAGCUCUUUCAACGAGUCGAGUUGUUUGGGAAUGCAGCUCAAAAUGGGUGGUAAAUUUCAUCUAAAGCUAAAUAUGGGCCAGAGACCGAUAGCGCACAAGUAGAGUGAUCGAAAGAUGAAAAGCACUUUGGAAAGAGAGUUAAACAGUACGUGAAAUUGUUGAAAGGGAAGCGCUUGCAACCAGACUUGGGCGCUGUCGAUCACCCCGAGUUCUCUCGAGUGCACUCGACAGCGCACAGGCCAGCAUCGGUUCGGGUGGCUGGAUAAAGGCCGUAGGAACGUGGCUCCCUUCGGGGAGUGUUAUAGCCUACGGUGCCAUGCAGCCCAGCCGGACCGAGGACCGCGCCUUCGGGCUAGGAUGCUGGCGUAAUGGUUGUAAGCGACCCGUCUUGAAACACGGACCAAGGAGUCUAACAUCUAUGCGAGUGUUUGGGUGGU